UGACGAUUAGAAAAAAAACCAAAAAAAGAAAUCAAACAGGAAUGGAGUGUGGAGCAGGUGUUUUUUCAUUGUUUGGUUCUGGUAAACAGAGAAGUAAUUUAACAUCGUCUCUGCCGGUAACGAGUAAGCGGGGAAUGAUUGGCGUGUAAUAAUGAACUGUGAAGCUAAUGUCUAAAAUCUGCUGCUCGCCGCUUCCAUUGAUUGAAAGUCCUACGAUGGCCGGCGUUGACUGUUUCCGAGAGCGAAUGAUACCUACGGAUCUUAGAUCUCUGCGGUACAGAUACGGCUACCUGCGAAGACAAAUCUGUAGAGUAGAUAGGUGCCACCAGUGUCCCAAUCCAGCCCAAAUUAACAUCCCAGCUAAUAACAGCAGAGCAGUUAUAACCGGUUAUAACGUGCUCAUCUAGUAUUGCAUACGAUCAACAAUAUCUCUAACAAAUCUUAUUGAAAUUGAAUUGAAAAAAAAAAAUAAAAUCGGCAUCAACAUUUCGAAAGGGCGAAACUGCUUUGGUAAACAAGAGCUUCUCACGUCGCCGGUAAGCUAAUUUGAGCCCACCCACGCAAUCCAACGCCAGUGGUGGAAGCAGCGAAUCCUCUUCUAUCAAUCAAUGUUACUGGAUGUUGUGGGCAGGCUCAAAUUAGGCCACCAGCGACGUGAGAAGCUCUUGUUUACAAAAGCAGUUUCGCCCUUCUGAAAUGUUGGUGCCGAAAUGUAACUAGAAAAAUCAAACUAAAAUUAAAUUCGA